rnacentral:lncRNA from 1 species
CCUUGCAGUUCAUGAUUGAUCUAAAAUUUUAAUUUUAGAUUUAAUAAUCAGAUUAUAAAUUAGAUCUAAUCUUAAAAAUAAUCUAAGUAUGUAUAAAUAAUCAUAUAAUAAAUAACUUGGGCUCUGAUACCAAUUGACGGAACCAGAUCUAGGGUUUCAGGAUUAGAUCUUGAAAUUUUUUCAAGAUCAAGCAGCGGAAGACUAAAAUAAAUCAAAAUUUAUUUUUUAAAAUUAGAAAAUUUCUAGAUCUAAGAUUUUAUUACAUAAUUAUUA